GUCCAGACUCCUACGGGAGGCAGCAGUGGGGAAUAUUGGGCAAUGGGCGCAAGCCUGACCCAGCAAUGCCGCGUGAAGGAAGAAGGCCUUCGGGUUGUAAACUUCUUUUAUCAGGGACGAAGGAUGUGACGGUACCUGAUGAAUAAGCUCCGGCUAACUACGUGCCAGCAGCCGCGGUAAUACGUAGGGAGCAAGCGUUAUCCGGAUUUACUGGGUGUAAAGGGCGCGUAGGCGGGAUGGCAAGUCAGAUGUGAAAACUCAGGGCUCAACCCUGAGCCUGCAUUUGAAACUGUGUUUCUUGAGUGCUGGAGAGGUAAUCGGAAUUCCGUGUGUAGCGGUGAAAUGCGUAGAUAUACGGAGGAACACCAGUGGCGAAGGCGGAUUGCUGGACAGUAACUGACGCUGAGGCGCGAAAGCGUGGGGAGCAAACAGGAUUAGAUACCCGCGUAAC
rnacentral:rRNA from 1 species